GCUCAAGGAACUGAAAUCAUCAUGUCCUGAGCUACAUGCCCUGUGCAAGGUCUCUGGCUUAGCACACAGAAAACUCAGAGGAAUCGUAAUUCAGUGAUUCUUGCCAUCUGCAAGCCUGUGGAAUUCAGGUGCCCACAGGAAGGAAUGGAGAGGUUUUUCCAGCCUGACCGUAUCAGCCGUCUCACCACAAGAACCUUCUGUUUUGGCUGUCGUCCCUCUAUCAGACUCAGGCUGUUCCUUAUGGCCAACUAUGAUGUUUCACGUCCUCCUUCUUAAUCUACUGUCUAUCUGGAGACCGUUUCCAACCACUGAGAGUAACAAGGCUUUCAUGUUGAAGCAUAAAACAAAACUGAAGAGGUACACCAAAAACAGAAAUGUUUUCAGAAAAUUUGAAAGCAAACAAAAUACAAAUGCUGAGUAAAGAAAGUAAGUCACAGAGGAAUGCCUACAGCACAAUCUCCUUUAUAAGAAAUUCGAGGUAAGUAACAUACUGUCUUGGGAACCUUCACGGGGU
rnacentral:lncRNA from 1 species